rnacentral:misc_RNA from 1 species
GAUGAAGAACGCAGCGAAAUGCGAUAAGUAGUGUGAAUUGCAGAAUUCCGUGAAUCAUCGAAUCUUUGAACGCACAUUGCGCCCCCUGGUAUUCCGGGGGGCAUGCCUGUCCGAGCGUCAUUGCUGCCCUCAAGCACUGCUUGUGUGUUGGGCCUCCGUCCUCCUCCCGGGGGACGGGCCCGAAAGGCAGCGGCGGCACCGCGUCCGGUCCUCGAGCGUAUGGGGCUUCGUCACCCGCUCUUGUAGGCCCGGCCGGCGCUUGCCGACACAUCAAUCUUUUUUCCAGGUUGACCUCGGAUCAGGUAGGGAUACCCGCUGAACUUAAGCAUAUCAAUAAGCGGAGGA